rnacentral:rRNA from 1 species
AUUGAACGCUGGCGGAAUGCUUUACACAUGCAAGUCGAACGGUAGAGGGGGCAACCCCUUGAGAGUGGCGAACGGGUGAGUAAUAUAUCGGAACGUGCCCAGUCGUGGGGAUAACGUAGCGAAAGUUACGCUAAUACCGCAUACGAUCUAAGGAUGAAAGCGGGGGAUCGCAAGACCUCGCGCGAUUGGAGCGGCCGAUAUCAGAUUAGGUAGUUGGUGAGGUAAAGGCUCACCAAGCCAACGAUCUGUAGCUGGUCUGAGAGGACGACCAGCCACACUGGAACUGAGACACGGUCCAGACUCCUACGGGAGGCAGCAGUGGGGAAUUUUGGACAAUGGACGCAAGUCUGAUCCAGCCAUUCCGCGUGCAGGAUGAAGGGCCCUCGGGUUGUAAACUGCUUUUUGUACGGAACGAAAAGGUUUCUAUUAAUACUAGGAGCUCAUGACGGUACCGUAAGAAUAAGCACCGGCUAACUACGUGACCAGCAGCCGCGGUAAAGUG